rnacentral:rRNA from 1 species
UCUUUUAUCUUUGAUAAGUUUUUAUAUAGAAUACUUAAAAAACAAUGUUAAGAGCAAGUUCUAAUACAAACUCUACUUGAAAGAUUUCUAUUAAACUCUAAAUAUUAUCUAUAUU